rnacentral:rRNA from 1 species
UACGUAGGAGACGAGCGUUGUCCGGAAUUACUGGGCGUAAAGCGCGUGUAGGCGGAUGAGCAAGUCUGCUGUGAAAGCUCCUGGCUUAACCGGGAGUGGUCGGUGGAAACUGCUCGUCUGGAGGACGGUAGGAGGUAGGUAGAAUUCCCGGUGUAGUGGUGAAAUGCGUAGAGAUCGGGAGGAACAUCAGUGGCGAAGGCGGCCAUCUGGGACAACACUGACGCUGAAGCACGAAAGCGUGGGGAGCAAACAGG